rnacentral:rRNA from 1 species
AUCGAACGCUGGCGGCGUGCCUAAUACAUGCAAGUCGACCUUAGUGGCGAACGGGGGAGUAACACGUGGGUGACCUGCCCAUCAGACGGGGAUAACACAUGGAAACAGGCGCUAAUACCCUAAAUGGAUGGAUGGACCCGCGGUGGAUUAGCUACUUGGUGGGGUAACGGCUCACCAAGGCCACGAUGCAUACCCGGCCUGAGAGGAUGAUCGGCCACACUGGAACUGAGACACGGCCCAAACUCCUACGGGAGGCAGCAGUAGGGAAUCUUCGGCAAUGGGCGAAAGCCUGAUCGAGCCACGCCGCGUGAGUGAAGAAGGUUUUCGGAUCGUAAAGCUCUGUUGUUAGGGAAGCGGUAUCUACAGAAAAAGCACCGGCUAACUACGUGCCAGCAGCCGCGGUAAUAC